rnacentral:pre_miRNA from 1 species
UGUUGAAUUAUUGGGUCAUAUGGUAACUCAAUGUUUAACUUUUUGAGGAACUGCCAAACUGUUUUCCAAAGUUGCUGCACUAUUUUACAUUCCUACCAGCAAU